rnacentral:tRNA from 1 species
AACAAAAUGUAGCUUAGCUUAAAGCACUUCGCUUACACCGAAAAGACGUCCACUAACCAAAACCAUUUU